AGUUAAUUAAUCUAAAUAAGAUUGUUAUUUUGAAAAUAAUAUAUAGAAAAUUAAAUUUCUAUUAACUU
rnacentral:tRNA from 1 species